rnacentral:rRNA from 1 species
AACGAACGCUGGCGGCAUGCCUAACACAUGCAAGUCGAACGAGACCUUCGGGUCUAGUGGCGCACGGGUGCGUAACGCGUGGGAACCUGCCCUUAGGUUCGGAAUAACUCCCCGAAAGGGGUGCUAAUACCGGAUAAUGUCUUCGGACCAAAGAUUUAUCGCCUUUGGAUGGGCCCGCGUUGGAUUAGCUAGUUGGUAGGGUAAAAGCCUACCAAGGCGACGAUCCAUAGCUGGUCUGAGAGGAUGAUCAGCCACACUGGGACUGAGACACGGCCCAGACUCCUACGGGAGGCAGCAGUGGGGAAUAUGGGACAAUGGGCGAAAGCCUGAUCCAGCAAGGCCGCGUGAGUGAUGAAGGCGUUAGGGUUGUAAAGCUCUUUUACCCGGGAUGAUAAUGACAGUACCGGGAGAAUAAGCUCCGGCUAACUCCGU